rnacentral:rRNA from 1 species
GUUGGAUGGCGGGUGCUAUACAUGCAAGUCGUACGCUUUUUCUUUCACCGGAGCUUGCUCCACCGAAAGAAAAGGAGUGGCGAACGGGUGAGUAACACGUGGGUAACCUGCCCAUCAGAAGGGGAUAACACUUGGAAACAGGUGCUAAUACCGUAUAACAAUCGAAACCGCAUGGUUUUGAUUUGAAAGGCGCUUUCGGGUGUCGCUGAUGGAUGGACCCGCGGUGCAUUAGCUAGUUGGUGAGGUAACGGCUCACCAAGGCCACGAUGCAUAGCCGACCUGAGAGGGUGAUCGGCCACAUUGGGACUGAGACACGGCCCAAACUCCUACGGGAGGCAGCAGUAGGGAAUCUUCGGCAAUGGACGAAAGUCUGACCGAGCAACGCCGCGUGAGUGAAGAAGGUUUUCGGAUCGUAAAACUCUGUUGUUAGAGAAGAACAAGGAUGAGAGUAACUGUUCAUCCCUUGACGGUAUCUAACCAGAAAGCCACGGCUAACUACGUGCCAGCAGCCGCGGUAAUACGUAGGUGGCAAGCGUUGUCCGGAUUUAUUGGGCGUAAAGCGAGCGCAGGCGGUUUCUUAAGUCUGAUGUGAAAGCCCCCGGCUCAACCGGGGAGGGUCAUUGGAAACUGGGAGACUUGAGUGCAGAAGAGGAGAGUGGAAUUCCAUGUGUAGCGGUGAAAUGCGUAGAUAUAUGGAGGAACACCAGUGGCGAAGGCGACUCUCUGGUCUGUAACUGACGCUGAGGCUCGAAAGCGUGGGGAGCAAACAGGAUUAGAUACCCUGGUAGUCCACGCCGUAAACGAUGAGUGCUAAGUGUUGGAGGGUUUCCGCCCUUCAGUGCUGCAGCUAACGCAUUAAGCACUCCGCCUGGGGAGUACGACCGCAAGGUUGAAACUCAAAGGAAUUGACGGGGGCCCGCACAAGCGGUGGAGCAUGUGGUUUAAUUCGAAGCAACGCGAAGAACCCUUACCAGGUCUU